UGAGCUCCCUGUGUCAGCCGAGAAGAAAAUCUUUCAAACUGUGAGAAGCUUCUAUGAGGCAGUGCUUAAGAAGAUGUUCUCCACCUUUCCCCUCGACCAUCCACUCCUGAGGGACCUGAAAGUGCUGGACCCUGCAGCUCGCCUUAACAUAACUCCAGGGACAGUGGAAAGGCUAGGGGCCCUGUUCCCCCAGUUGAGGCUGAAAGAGGAUAAGAUGAGGGAGGAAUUCACAGACUAUCAGGUGACAGAUAGCAAGCAACUCCCCCAAGAAGACAGAAUCGACAAAUUUUGGGGCCUGGUAGGAAAGGACAUGAGGUUCAGUGAGCUGCCAAAACUUAUGAAGGCUUUACUAUGCAUUCCCCAUAGCAAUGCAAGUUCAGAAAGGGUGUUUAGCAUGGUACGAAAAAUUGUUACAGAGAAUAGGAUGUCGUUAGACAACAGAACUGUUUGCGCUCUACUCUCAUGUAAAAUUAACCACUCUGGCUCAGCCCACAAAUACACUCCUUCCAAAACAGUCUUAAAGAAUGCAAAGUCUGCAACAAAUGAGUACAAUAAGUCACUAAAAGAGUAAAGAAAAGUUAUGUGAAAUGAAAAAAAAACUACAAAAAAGCAAUAUGAAAUGAAUGAGUGUGUGAAUGUGAAAAGAAUGUGGGAUGAAAAUGAAAUGUAAAUGUAAAGACAAGCAAUGUUAAAUGAACAGAAAAUAUGCAAAUAAGCCUUUAAA